rnacentral:rRNA from 1 species
AGCUCCAAUAGCGUAUAUUAAAGUUGUUGCAGUUAAAAAGCUCGUAGUUGGAUUUUGGGACGUUUCUGAUUGGUCCGCCGCAAGGCGAGUACUGGUCAGGGAUGCCUGUUAAAAAUUCCCUCUCUUUGCUGGAGAUUAAACACUUUAGCGUGGAAAAGGGCAGUUACCUUGAAAAAAUUAGAGUGCUCAAAGCAGGCCUAUGUUGCUUGAAUAUUAUUAGCAUGGAAUAACAGAAUAGGACUUUGGUUCUAUGUUUGUUGGUUUUAUUGGACCGAAGUAAUGAUUAAUAGGGAUAGUUGGGGGCAUUAGUAUUUAAUUGUCAGAGGUGAAAUUCUUGGAUUUAUGAAAGACUAACUUCUGCGAAAGCAUCUGCCAAGGAUGUUUUCA